AGCGGCAGGCUUAACACAUGCAAGUCGAGGGGUAACGAUGUAGCUUGCUACAGGCGACGACCGGCGCACGGGUGAGUAACGCGUAUGCAAUCUGCCCAUAGCUGGAGAAUAGCCCGAAGAAAUUCGGAUUAAUGCUCCAUAAUAUUCCGAAGAGGCAUGAUCUUUAAAAUAAAGAUUUAUCGGAAGAAGAUGGGCAUGCGUGCCAUUAGCUUGUUGGUAGGGUAAGGGCCUACCUAGGCAACGAUGGCUAGGGGUUCUUAAAGGAUUAUCCCCCACACUGGUACUGAGACACGGACCAGACUCCUACGGGAGGCAGCAGUGAGGAAUAUUGGUCAAUGGUCGAGAGACUGAACCAGCCAUGCCGCGUGUAGGAUGACUGCCCUAAGGGUUGUAAACGACUUUUGUAUAGGAAGAACAGCAGAUACGUGUAUUUGUGUGACGGUACUAUACGAAUAAGCAUCGGCUAACUCCGUGCCAGCAGCCGCGGUAAUACGGAGGAUGCAGGCGUUAUCCGGAUUUAUUAGGUUUAAAGGGUGCGUAGGCGGGAUUAUAAGUCAGUGGUGAAAUCUUACGGCUCAACCGUAAAACUGCCAUUGAUACUGUAGUUCUUGAGUUUAGUCGAGGUAGGCGGAAUGUGUAAUGUAGCGGUGAAAUGCAUAGAUAUUACACAGAACACCGAUUGCGAAGGCAGCUUACUAGACUAUAACUGACGCUGAUGCACGAAAGCGUGGGUAGCGAACAGGAUUAGAUACCCUGGUAGUCCACGCCGUAAACGAUGAUCACUCGUUGUGUGCGAUAUAUUGUACGUGACUGAGCGAAAGCAUUAAGUGAUCCACCUGGGGAGAACGUUUGCAAGAAUGAAACUCAAAGGAAUUGACGGGGGCCCGCACAAGCGGAGGAACAUGUGGUUUAAUUCGAUGAUACGCGAGGAACCUUAACUGGACUUAAAUGUAGCAUGACCGUACCAGAAAUGGUAUUUCUCUUCGGAGCAGGACAAGGUGCUGCAUGGCUGUCGUCAGCUCGUGCCGUGAGGUGUCGGGUUAAGUCCCAUAACGAGCGCAACCCCUAUUGUUAGUUGCCAGCGGGUAAUGCCGGGAACUCUAGCGAGACUGCCACCGUAAGGUGAGAGGAAGGUGGGGAUGACGUCAAAUCAGCACGGCCCUUAUGUCCAGGGCUACACACGUGUUACAAUGGCAGGUACAAAGGGCAGCUACAUAGCAAUAUGAUGCUAAUCUCCAAAGCCUGUCUUAGUUCGGAUCGAAGUCUGCAACUCGACUUCGUGAAGUUGGAUUCGCUAGUAAUCGUAUAUCAGCAAUGAUACGGUGAAUACGUUCCCGGGCCUUGUACACACCGCCCGUCAAGCCAUGGAAGCUGGGGGUACCUGAAGUCCGUAACCGCAAG
rnacentral:rRNA from 1 species